AACGAACGCUGGCGGCGCGUCUUAAGCAUGCAAGUCGAACGGAAAGAGAGGAGCUUGCUUCUCCUCUAGAGUGGCGGAGUGGGGAGGAACACGUGGGGAAACUACCCUUAAGAUGGGGAUAGCUGCUAGAAAAAGCAGGUAAUACCGAAUACACUCGGCAUAUCACAAGAGGUGAUGAGGAAAGGAAGCUACGGCUUCGCUUGAGGAUGAGCUUGCGGCCCAUUAGCUAGUUGGUGAGGGAAAGGCCCACCAAGGCGACGAUGGGUAACCGGCCUGAGAGGGUGAACGGCCACAUUGGGACUGAGACACGGCCCAGACUCCUACGGGAGGCAGCAGUUGAGAAUCUUCCGCAAUGGACGGAAGUCUGACGGAGCGACGCCGCGUGGAUGAAGAAGGCCUACGAGUUGUAAAAUUCUUUUAUUAAUGAAGAAUAAAUGUGUGAGUGACUGUUCACCUCUUGACGGUACUCGACCAAUAAGCCCCGGCUAAUUACGUG
rnacentral:rRNA from 1 species